rnacentral:rRNA from 1 species
GCUGACCGAACAACAGACCACAAACAUAUCCUACUAAAUAAACAAAUCAUUUGACCCACCCAGUAGAUGCGAUCGAACAGUCACAAGUCACAACAAAGUACCGCAAGGGAACCACCAUCAAGCAACAAACAGCAAAGACGAAACCUUGUACCUUUUGCAUCAUGAUUUAGCAAGAAUAUAGGACAAGAAGAAUCACAGCCCACCCCCCCGAAACCGAACGAGCUAUUUUUAAGCAGUCUAACGGACGCACCCUUCUAUGUUGCAAAAUAGUGGGAAGACUUAAAAAUAGAGGUGAAAA